rnacentral:ncRNA from 1 species
AAGAAAUCAAAGAGAAGGAAAAGUAACAUGAAUAAGCUUGUGAUAGAGAAAACAUGGGUGGUGGAAAUGUUUCGGGCGUUCAUGUGAAAAGCACCUUUGAGUGAACGUAUGAAAAAAGUAGUUCGUUCCGGUCCAUACCGUUAUCAUGUUGAGAUGUUUUCCGUUUCACGUGAAAAUAAAAAAGGUGGCAACACGAGAUCUUCGUCCUUUUU